GCGCGGCCGCUCCGCCCUCACCUGAGCCUGAGGUUGGCCAUGAACUCGGGCAUGGAGACGGUGUCCAUCAGCACGAAGUCUGCCUUGCCGAAUUCCAGGCUCUCCUGCUCCGCCAUGGCGCCAGCGCGGGGGCUCAGGAUUAUUGCGGAUGUCUUGAGCAUGGGACCAUUCUUUUUGCAUCCACCAAAUAACUAUUGUACUACUUUGCAUAUAUAAAUAUGAAAUCCAUACUGGUUCAGUGGAAUGAAGUGAGUUGACAUCUUCUAUUACAAAAUCUACGAGGAAAUCUAGAGGCCUCCAAGGACCUGGCUGGGCUUCAACUCUGGCUGAGUUUGAGAUGAGUAAACCAGACUGAAGGACCUUGCCCAAGGCCUGCUUCAGCUGCCAGCCACCCACACUUGCUAAGAGAAAGGAAAGGAGCUUUGUCACCUCCUGAGGGACUGCCUCUGCCAUCAGAAAACCACCCCAAUCCCUGGCACCAGCAGAGCUGGGUUGCAUCUGACUACCGUUAGCAGCUGUCCUUCAGAAGGAGGAGAUCCACCUGUCUCGAUAUCAGUGUCCUCAUUUGUGGAAUAAAAGCUCUGGAAUAAGAUCCACCCUGAUUUCAGCGGGCGUUCCUGGGUCUUGUAUGCACUAGGUGCCCUCAAUGCUUGGCAACUGGAAUGGGUUAGCCUGGAGGCAUUUAGGCUGUCCUUCUACAACCACAGAAGAGCCAUCACUGGCAGAGAGAUCCUUGGCGCAGUUAAGCAGAGAUCUUCUCAGAAGAGCUUUUGAAUAAAUGAAGUUGUUCAGAAUGGCCUUGUUAAAAUGACUCACUUGUCAAAAAACUAGAUGUGUUGGAAGGCUGGGUUGGAAGACAAGAUGUCUGAGAAGCUGUCCUGCUGCAUGAGGAGUUUCAUUGCUACACACCUAGUCUCUGGGUCCUGUGUUUUUGGCCUCCAGCUUACUUCGUGAACAUAAUAAAGGAAAGGCAUUUUCUCUUGUGCAUG
rnacentral:lncRNA from 10 species